UUAGGAAUCUUGCGCAAUGGGCGAAAGCCUGACGCAGCAACGCCGCGUGAGGGAUGAAGGCUCUCGGGUUGUAAACCUCUUUCAGCAGGAACGAAAUUGACGGUACCUGCAGAAGAAGCUCCGGCCAACUACGUGCCAGCAGCCGCGGUAAUACGUAGGGAGCAAGCGUUGUCCGGAUUUAUUGGGCGUAAAGAGCUCGUAGGCGGUUUAGAAAGUCAGGUGUGAAAACUCCAGGCUCAACCUGGAGACGCCACUUGAUACUUCUAUGACUUGAGUUCGGUAGGGGACCAUGGAAUUCCUGGUGUAGCGGUGAAAUGCGCAGAUAUCAGGAGGAACACCGAUGGCGAAGGCAGUGGUCUGGGCCGAAACUGACGCUGAGGAGCGAAAGCGUGGGGAGCGAACAGGAUUAGAUACCCCCGUAGUCC
rnacentral:rRNA from 1 species